UCUUCCACAAUGGACGCAAGUCUGAUGCAGCAACGCCGCGUGAGCGAUGAAGGCCUUCGGGUCGUAAAGCUCUGUCCUCAAGGAAGAUAAUGACGGUACUUGAGGAGGAAGCCCCGGCUAACUACGCGCCAGCAGCCGCGGUAAUACGUAGGGGGCUAGCGUUAUCCGGAAUUACUGGGCGUAAAGGGUGCGUAGGUGGUUUCUUAAGUCAGAGGUGAAAGGCUACGGCUCAACCGUAGUAAGCCUUUGAAACUGGGAAACUUGAGUGCAGGAGAGGAGAGUGGAAUUCCUAGUGUAGCGGUGAAAUGCGUAGAUAUUAGGAGGAACACCAGUUGCGAAGGCGGCUCUCUGGACUGUAACUGACACUGGGGCACGAAAGCGUGGGGAGCAAACAGG
rnacentral:rRNA from 1 species